rnacentral:misc_RNA from 1 species
UGUGGGAGCGGGCUUGCCCGCGAUGAGGCCGGCACAUCCAACAUCUUUGUUAACUGACAGUCCGCUAUCGCGGGCAAGCCCGCUCCCACA